CAAUGAGCGCAUGAGAGGAAGAUGAGGCGGAACCACGGAGAAUGUUGUUUUGCACACAAGUCGGCUGAGGAAGCUCCGUGUUAAUCGAGUAGGAGCGCGUCCAGCUCCACAGUCAUGAUGUCCACCUUAUACAGUCAUCCAGCGAGCUCUCCCCAUGCAGUACUCCCAUCGGCAUUAAUUCCGUUCCUGCGAUAAGUGGAGUGAUUGCCAGAGACAAGGGCACAAAGCAUGGCUGCUCCAUCUUCUGAAGGAGCUGCUGCUUCCGCACGUCUCCACAAAGCUCCGUCUCCGC